rnacentral:rRNA from 1 species
UACGUAGGGUGCGAGCGUUAAUCGGAAUUACUGGGCGUAAAGCGUGCGCAGGCGGCUUUGCAAGACAGAUGUGAAAUCCCCGGGCUCAACCUGGGAACUGCAUUUGUGACUGCAAGGCUAGAGUACGGCAGAGGGGGAUGGAAUUCCGCGUGUAGCAGUGAAAUGCGUAGAUAUGCGGAGGAACACCAAUGGCGAAGGCAAUCCCCUGGGACUGUACUGACGCUCAUGCACGAAAGCGUGGGGAGCAAACAGG